CAGAGGGCGCGAGCGUUGUUCGGAAUUAUUGGGCGUAAAGCGCGUGUAGGCGGCUUAGUAAGUUGGGUGUGAAAGCCCUCGGCUUAACCGAGGAAGUGCGCCCAAAACUGCUUGGCUUGAGUACCGGAGAGGGUGGCGGAAUUCCCGGUGUAGAGGUGAAAUUCGUAGAUAUCGGGAGGAACACCAGCGGCGAAGGCGGCCACCUGGACGGAUACUGACGCUGAGACGCGAAAGCGUGGGGAGCAAACAGGAUUAGAUACCCUGGUAGUCCACGCUGUAAACGAUGAGCGCUAGGUGUUGCGGGUGUUGACCCCUGCAGUGCCGCAGCUAACGCAUUAAGCGCUCCGCCUGGGAAGUACGGCCGCAAGGCUA
rnacentral:rRNA from 1 species